rnacentral:rRNA from 1 species
CAAUCCUUUAAGUUUCAGUCUUGCGACCGUACUUCCCAGGCAGCUUGGUUAACANCUUCUCUCCGACACUAAUCGGGCUCGGAGCCCGACUAACAUCAAGCAAGCAGCGUUUACACCCUGGACUACCCGGGUAUCUAAUCCGGUUUGCGCCCCAGGGCUUCGUCCCUCACCGUCAGACCCGUUCUGGUCAGACGCCUUCGCCACUGGUGGUCCCCCUAGGAUUACAGAAUUUCACCUCUACCCCAGGAGUACCUCUAACUUCUCCCGAUCUCAAGUUCAGCAGUCUACCCGGAAGUCGUAUAGUUGAGCUACACAAUUUACCCAGGCAUUUACUAAACCGGUACGGAC